rnacentral:lncRNA from 1 species
ACACACGGAGGGGAGCCCUGGCUUUCAGACCCACCCGGGCUGCCCCAGAAAGGCUGACCGGGGUCGCCAGGGCCCCAGCCACUUGAACACCAAGAAAACAGCUUCAAACCGCCCACUAUACUCUGCUGAGGAGCGGCAGCAGCACAUUUUGCAAAAUUUUCCUUCCUGUGCCUCACUGAGAUUUUUCUGCCUGGGUUCCCCAAAAGCCCAAAAGAAGUGAACUCCAUGGCUUCAUUCCAUUAAGGAAAUCAAGAAGGACUAGAGAAAGGAAAGGCAACCUAUGCAUCAUAAAUUCCAACUCUGAGAAGGAGAGGUAGAAAAGGAGACCAGAAAGCAAAGUGCUAAGAGAGGAGACCAUCUGGCUCACUGUUGGACAGCCUGGAUGCUACAGUGAGAAAUAUCAGCUGGUGACCAUGCAAACUGAAGCCUAUUUUUCUCCGUUCCAGAAUUAUUCAAUACCAGCUACUUAUCUGUAACCAAGCAGUAGCACCCUCUACUUUUAUUGUUCGUUUGUCUAAUCACCCAUUCUUUCAGCAAAUAUGUAUUAAGUUCUGUCUAUGUACUAGACAUUGGAGAUAAAAAAUAUUAAUGAAACAGAGUAUUUGCCCUCAGAAGGCUCACCAACAAGUGACAAAACAGUAGGUGCCCAGGACACAAUUAAUGAGUGAUGACUAGACGCAAAUGUAAACAAAUGGUAACAUGAGGCUGGACUUCCAGGAAGCUAAGCAAGCAGGAAACAUGGGCCCAGAAGACAGCUUACUGAAGAGGGACCAUGGAAAAGUUUAGCAAUGCUACCAACUUAGAAUUAUUGAUCAAUAAUUUUGUUAGACAAGACGAAACCAUAGAAAUAGGUAAUAUUGUGUUAUUUUGUUAAUUUUUGCUUUUUCCUAGCUUCUAUAAUCAUGGAAGAACUUGAGCAUGAUUGUCUUUUCACAUAAAGGGGGGAAAGGGGGGUGUAUGUCUUGAAUGAUGUGUGGUUCACAUUGUGGCCGAUCCCUACACCAAGUGCCCAGGAGUGGAGUCAUAUAACUCACAGGCAAAAUGCCAGUGGGUCGAGAGUAUAAGAAAUCUAACAGUGCCCAUUUCCUACAGAGCAGCAAAUGGCAUUUCAGAGCAAUUUUCAUGGUGUCAUCUUUUCCAAGGUUUAUGUACACAGGGAAGAUGGAGGGAACUUCUAGAUAUAUUUGCAGGCAUAUGAAAAAGACAGAAACAAGGGUGGCUGGCACUCAAAGCAAAAGCAAGUUGAUUCUGUUGUGUAACAAUGUGAAACUACUUAAUGUGAAUGCACUUAAUGCCCUAAAAUGUGCACUUAACAAUGGUUAAACAGGUGAUUAAAAUGGUAAAUUUUAUCUCA